UAGAGUUUGAUCCUGGCUCAGAACGAACGCUGGCGGCAGGCUUAACACAUGCAAGUCGAGCGCCCCGCAAGGGGAGCGGCAGACGGGUGAGUAACGCGUGGGAAUCUACCUUUUGCUACGGAAUAACUCAGGGAAACUUGUGCUAAUACCGUAUGUGCCCUUCGGGGGAAAGAUUUAUCGGCAAAGGAUGAGCCCGCGUUGGAUUAGCUAGUUGGUGAGGUAAAGGCUCACCAAGGCGACGAUCCAUAGCUGGUUGAGAGGAUGAUCAGCCACACUGGGACUGAGACACGGCCCAGACUCCUACGGGAGGCAGCAGUGGGGAAUAUUGGACAAUGGGCGCAAGCCUGAUCCAGCCAUGCCGCGUGAGUGAUGAAGGCCCUAGGGUUGUAAAGCUCUUUCACCGGUGAAGAUAAUGACGGUAACCGGAGAAGAAGCCCCGGCUAACUUCGUGCCAGCAGCCGCGGUAA
rnacentral:rRNA from 1 species